CCUACGGGUGGCAGCAGUGGGGAAUAUUGCACAAUGGGGGAAACCCUGAUGCAGCGACGCCGCGUGAGUGAAGACGUUCCUCGGUAUGUAAAGCUCUGUCAGCAGGGAAGAAAAUGACGGUACCUGACCCAGAAGCCCCGGCUAACUACGUGCCAGCAGCCGCGGUAAUACGUAGGGGGCAAGCGUUAUCCGGAUUUACUGGGUGUAAAGGGAGCGUAGACGGCAGGGCAAGUCUGGAGUGAAAGGCGGGGGCACAACCCCCGGACUGCUCUGGAAACUGCGUGGCUGGAGUGCAGGAGAGGUAAGUGGAAUGCCUAGUGUAGCGGUGAAAUGCGUAGAUAUUAGGAGGAACACCAGUGGCGAAGGCGGCUUACUGGACUGUAACUGACGUUGAGGCUCGAAAGCGUGGGGAGCAAACAGGAUUAGAUACCCCAGUAGUC
rnacentral:rRNA from 1 species